rnacentral:tRNA from 1 species
GGGGUUGUAGCUCAGUGGUAGAGCACUUGCCUAUCACGUAUGAGGCACGGGGUUCAAUCCUCAGCACCA